AAAUGGGUUAGUACUCCUAAGGAGUAUGUACUCCUACCCAGGUGUCCUCGGUUAAUUUGUUUUGUGUUUAUUUUCAGUGACAAGAUAAUGCAUGCAAAAUAAGAAAAUAGGUAGUUUGUUUCCAGAUUUUCAGGUUAGUUAUUCUGUUCGGACGUCUCUUUUCAUUAGCACAUUGGUACGUCAUAUCCAUCUCCCUUUCUUUCUCAACAGAAAAAAAUAAUCCAUCUCUUCUUCCCCUACCGGCGGCGACGAAGCACGGUGAUCUGGGUGACACGACGCGGGAUGGAGAUCGGUAGCUGGUCACAGACGGACAUGAUGACGCGCUCUUCUAAUCCUCCCAUCAACGACCCACCGAAGCUUCAAUUCAAAAUAUACCAGCACAUAUAUGCUACGGCGGCACGAGCAUCCAUCGGCAGACGGUUCCACAAGCGGGCACCCACCAGCAUCGAGGCGUGCCAUGGCUGCAACUACCAUGUUACGGCGGUCUUGGUGGCAUCCAUGAUGGUGGCAGGUGGCCAUGAAUCCUUGAGACAUACUCCUUUAAGAUGAGAUUAAUUACGGCGAGUGUACGAGAUAUACAUGAUACAUAAUCCCACCUUGUGUGUUGAUCUCUUUUCUUUGAGAUCUCUUUCUCUUUAGAUUUAAGUUUUUUUUAUUGCAUGGUUGAGAUUUGAAUUCUUCCACGUUCAAAUGAUAAUGUGUGUGCAUGUGUACUUCUUUACUGUACUAGUAUACUCUCUUUUUUAUUAUCAUGUAUC
rnacentral:lncRNA from 1 species